UUUUUCCGGUACGAUAAAAAAGAAAAGGAAAACAACCUCCGUAAGAAAAGCACCCACGAGGCCACGACUAGGCACAGACAUCCCCCGCCCCGAACUCUCUUCCCCAAACUACCCAUCCCAUCUCUCGCGAGAAAAAUUCCCUACCGCCGUCCAGAUCGGAGAUCACCUCGGCCUCCUCCACCACGCGCCCGCUUCCUCCCAUGGUCGUGUCCUCCCGACCCACCCUCCUCUUCGCUCACCACGCCGGCGCAGGCGGUCACGCGGGCGUCCAUUGAUCUGCAACUCUCACCGCCUUCAUAACGCUCAAGCGCCGCCCACGGAUAGACGAUGGCUUCAGCCGUGUCAACGAGGUCGAGGAGUCCCUUGACCUAGCCCUUGCCCUCACCUUCGUCGGAGGCCUCGCCCAUCUCGAUGGGGCCGGUUACUUAUCUCUCGGGGAUGCCCUGCCCUCCCCUGGCGUGCUGGGGACCGAUGAUGCCCUGCCUUCCCCUGGCGUGUUGGGGAUCUGGUGGCGCCCGUCGAACGUCGAGAGGUGGCACAGCCCCGCCACACACUUGUUCCUCCUCCUCAGGAUCCUCAAUUCCUCAUCUAAAAGCUGUGAUAUUUCCCUCCUUCAUGGAUGUAUGGAACUGCGUGAAUGGGACAGCGAAGCCACUGUCAUGAAACUUGCAGAAUGAUGACAGAGAUAUCGAAAGAUUUUCUAAAAUGAGGUGUGAAAUAAAAGGCAAAUGUGAAGCUCUUGCAUCAAUCCUCAGACUGAUUCCUGCAAAUUUUCCUACAGAACUACAACAUGGUAGUCUUGAAUAUGGAGAUGACAAGAUCGAAAAGGACGGUGAUAUAAGGAAAGCGGGGAGUGGAGGAGGAAGAAAGUUGGGAUGCCAAUUAUAAAUAGGUUAAUACUUCAAAUCUUUAUGCACUGAGGUAUUCUUUGUGUUAGAAAUAAUUGUUUAAAAGGCUCAUGAUUUUGGCGAAACUGUAUGAUGUAUGUGUGUUCCUUCACAUGGAAAAAUAUGAAAGGGUACCCAUUAUGAAAUCAUAGACCAGUGAUGUAUCAUUUCUUUGUCUUUCUUAUUGCAAAUAUGGCUCACAUGGCCGCGCUCUGCAGAAUAUAGAGUUUGAUGAUGAUGAUGAUUGGAACCAAGAGGAGGAAGCAAGUAAGUUUCAUUUGAUUUUCUAUUCAUGAGGUUACAGUAACAAGAUAUGUAAAGUCUGGAUUGGUUUACUUAUCACUUGUAUGUUCCAUACUUGCAGUUUUUCAGUACUUUCGUCUUGUUGCCUCUCAGUGUAUCACUAAAUAAUCAGUGUUUUUGGGUACUUGCUUGUUGUUGCCUUUCAGUGUAUCACUAAAUAAUCAGUUGACCGGUGUUGGCAAUGUUGCAUCGAUCCUAUUUAUUUCUGGUUCUGUAUGCCUCCCAAGCUACAACUUAUACCCAAAAUUAUUAGCAUACAAAUUGGUAUCAGUUGUGGGAGACUCGGCCAUGCCGACAAUGCCUCCAAUGUGGUGGCGGUCAUGGUGGACGCCACCAUGUGAGCUUCAGCUCAUCGUGGUGUAGCCGGAGCGAUUUCCUUCGCUGUUGAAGUCCGGGAAGAUUUUUAUGUGAAUGCAAUCCUGUUUUGCUAGGUCCCUAGCAUUAUUAAUUUUAUUUUUCUGCCAAUAACAACCAAGUAACGUGUGCAUGUCCACGUCUUGGAGUAAUUCUCGGUUAGUUAGAUCUGACCGCUGCAUGUGCUUCGUGGGAUGCCACGAAUCCAGUGCAAGCAGCGUUAUUGUCGUUGGGUUCAGGUGGACAUGGGAUGGUUCAUUUGAUAUACCUACUCACUAGCUACUUUCUCUCUUUUUCAGUAGCACUUGACCAUAUAAAUAAGAGAAAAAAAACCAGAAAACGCUGCAAGAUUUUUACGCAAUGCAAAUUACUUGUCUGCGUGCUCGUGCGUGUUUAUACGUGCGCUUGUUCUUUUGUGUCCAAAUACUUGUGUAGUGUUGUGAGAGAGAUUCUGCAACUUCAGUUUUUGUCAUGCAGUUCCUUAAAACGUAUACAUCUCUUGCAUCCUUUAGAUACAUCAUGUGUACAGGUAUAUGUACAGGGAGCAAGUGCCACAUUGCUACAUUUAAUGCUUUGGUGUGCUCUCACGCUCCAUGCCAUUGUCCCACGCUCCAAACUGUAGAUAUUGACUAUGAUAUGAAAUUGUAAUUGCUCAUAAUUUAUAUUUUUGACACAAGGCAGGAGCCAAGAACAUCUGUGUGACAUGGAAGCUCUUAACAAUGGUUAGCGUAUGGUUCGCAAGUUAUUUCUCUGGUUCAUCUCAAAUUGAGCGUCUUGAUACUUCAUAUGAAUAUUUGGUUGUAACAAAUUGUUUUCCGCAAGUCACAAUUUUUUGUAUGCAAGAAAUAUGUAUAAAAUUCCUCAAAGCAUUGUAGAUAAGCAGCUUCAUAUGUCUGAGUGUCUGAUAUGCCUUUCUUUUUCAGUUUUUCCUGCCAGAAAGAAAGCAAGUGACC